GAUGAACGCUGGCGGCGUGCUUAACACAUGCAAGUCGAACGAGAAGUGAAGACGGAAACCUUCGGGCGGAAGGCUUUAUUUCGAGUGGCGGCCGGGUGAGUAACGCGUGGGUAACCUGCCUCAUACAGGGGGAUAACAGUUGGAAACGACUGUUAAUACCGCAUAAGACCACAGCACCGCAUGGUGCGGGGGUAAAAACUCCGGUGGUAUGAGAUGGACCCGCGUUCGAUUAGCCAGUUGGCGGGGUAACGGCCCACCAAAGCGACGAUCGAUAGCCGAUCUGAGAGGAUGACCGGCCACAUUGGGACUGAGACACGGCCCAAACUCCUACGGGAGGCAGCAGUGGGGAAUAUUGCACAAUGGGGGAAACCCAGAUGCAGCGACGCCGCGUGAGUGAAGAAGUAUUUCGGUAUGUAAAGCUCUAUCAGCAGGGAAGAAAAUGACGGUACCUGAGUAAGAAGCCCCGGCUAACUACGU
rnacentral:rRNA from 1 species